UACAGAGGGUGCGAGCGUUAAUCGGAAUUACUGGGCGUAAAGCGUGCGCAGACGGUCAUGUAAGUCGGGUGUGAAAGCCCCGGGCUCAACCUGGGAAUUGCAUUCGAGACUGCAUGGCUAGGGUGCGGAAGAGGGAAGCGGAAUUUCCGGUGUAGCGGUGAAAUGCGUAGAUAUCGGAAGGAACACCAGUGGCGAAGGCGGGUCUCUGGGCAGUAACUGACGCUGAGGAGGCGAAAAGCGUGGGGAGCAACAGG
rnacentral:rRNA from 1 species